CCUACGGGAGGCAGCAGUGGGGAAUAUUGCGCAAUGGGCGAAAGCCUGACGCAGCGACGCCGCGUGUGGGAUGAAGGUCUUCGGAUUGUAAACCACUGUCGGGAGGGACGAAGCUCUGACGGUACCUCCAAAGGAAGCACCGGCUAACUCUGUGCCAGCAGCCGCGGUAAU
rnacentral:rRNA from 1 species